rnacentral:lncRNA from 1 species
GUUGAAGAGAUGGUGAGAAAGAGAGUUGAAAAGAAGGCCAUGGUGUUCGGGCAGGACGUAGGCCUAAACGGUGAUGAUGAAAAGAAAGUAAAACGCAAGUUUGAUCCAUCAGUGGCUUCUCGCUCGUAUCAGAAGUGGAUAAUACCUCUCACCAAGGAGGUUCAGGUUGAGUACCUCUUGCGCCGUCUAGAUUGAGACCGUCUCAAUGCAAUUAGGAAGAAAAAAAGGAACAUGAUGUUCUGUUCAAAUGCAUAAGCUCUUAUGUGAUCCUAGAACACAGGAAUAUGAUAUCCUUGUUCAAAUGCAUAGGUUCUUAUUUAUUGCCAAUUCUUACAAGAAAGAAAUAUCAUGUCUUUGUUCAAAUGCAUAAGCUUUUAUGUGAUCCUUUUUUGCCAAUCUCUUAAGGUGUUUGGAAAAUUAAACUAAAAUGUCGUUAAUCACAUACUGUGCAAGUUUAAGAGGGUAGCUGCUGGCUUGGAAACUCGUGUAUGAACCCAAAUUUAAACAUGCAGUUAGAAGAAAGGAACAUGAUGUCCUUGUUCUAUUGCAUAGACUCUUAUGUAAUCACUAAUCAGUGAUUGCUAAUUUCUUAGAAGAAAGGAAUAUGAUAUCCUUGUUCAAAUUGAUAAGCGCUUAUGUCAUCCAUUAUUUAAUUUCAGUUACUUCUAAGUUUGAAGUAAGGAAUAUUUUUUGUUACAUCGGAAAGUUAAAUUGCAUUAGCCACGAAUCGAUCUCUGGACUUCCCCUGCCCAACCCAUAUGUCCCCAGCUCCUACCACCUGAGCUAUCCUACGGGGACUUAGAAGUAAGGAUUUUUUUUUGAACCAGAAGUAAGGAAUAUGAUGACAAAAUAACAUACUUUUUUUAUUUAAAAUCAAUUACCUACAUUGAAUAAUGUCAUUAAAUUCUACCAAAAAAAAGAUUAAACUUAAAAAGCUAAUUUGAAAUUUAAGCUAGAGUUUAUAUCAUUUGCAUGAGAUCAUAAGUUCAAAUUUACAAUUUUAUGCUUAAGUAAUUCAAACAUGUUUAAACAUAGUGUUUUUUAUGUCCUUUAAUGUAAUUUUAUAUGAAAAUAAAAGGACUUUUAUGAUUUUAUACUCAAACAGUUUAAAAUUAUUUUUUAAGUGAAAAGCAUUGAUUAUAUUUGUAAACAAACAUAGACAACUUUUGCUUUUAAAAAAAUCACUUUAAAUUAAAAUAGUUUUUUAUUCAAACGUAAAAUUACUUUUUUUAAGCAGAAACAAACAAGCCCUAAUUUUGAUAUUUUUUUUUUAAAUUGGAUUAUCAACUAACUUUUGGCGCUGUCUAAUGUUUGAUGAGCAAUAUGAUAAAUUAAUAUAUGGUUGGCUGAAUUAACUUACCCUUUCAACUCUUGUCUCUUCAUGCUAUAUAAUGCAUAUCCUAUGAUCCUUUCAUAGUUUCAUUAUAACAAUCAUAGUAAUCCUCAUAACCAUAAUUUUGUUGUUAUUGUUCUUUUGGGUUUGAUUGAUUGACACCAUGAUGAUUCGAUUUCCGUUCCUGGUGGUUCUUGUGUUGGUCAUUUCUACUGUCAGGUACAGAAUGGCCAAAGCAGAAUCGAAUGAUGUGUAUACCCUGGAGUCUGUGAGGGAGGAUCUGGUUAAGCAAGAAGAUACCAUUGUUUUUGGUCUCAUUGACAGGGCUAGGUUCCCCAUGAAUUAUCACACCUAUGAUGAAAACUACUGGAAAAUCCCGGGUUUUUGUGGCUCAUUGGUCGAAUGUGUUGUUCAAAACACUGAGGCCAUUCAAGCUAUGGUGACUAACUGCUACUUUUACCUUGUCUCUUCUUAGCUUCUCUAUUUUCAUAGCUUGUUUUGAUUUGUGUUGCCAAGUCAUGCCAUUUUAAUUGUGUGGUGUUUGCUUGGUCAUGGUGGUUUUGAUUGCGGUUGCGCGGUGUUCAAAAGCACACAUUGACUAGAGAUAUGACUAAGUAAUUCAGUAGAGCGAUCCUCACCCCUGAACUAGCUUUUGGGGUAGGGUUAUGCCUAAUUCGAAUUCCAAGACGUCAUUAGAACCUAUCUAGAUUGGCUUAUUGGGCCGCCCAUAAAUGGAUUACUCGCAAAUGUCAAGAAUCCUACAAAUUUCAUGCUCUAGAUGGGGCAUUAUGUGUGAUCGUAAUUGCUGUCAUGAGCAGUUGCAGGAACUCGAAAAAACUUAAUAUUGCAGCUGCAAUUGCGAUUGCGUACUGCAACUUAAAACCAUGUCUGCUACUUCAAUGUGAGGGGCAGCACAUCUGUCUUAUUUUAAAUGAAUUUGGCUGAUUGUUAAGAUUAAAGGUCUAAAAUCGAUAUAAAAAGGGUGGAUGUUAUCAGAUAUGCUGAUUGGUAAUUUAUCUAACAAUCUAGCUUCAUAAAUUUGGGAGUUAUGUUACAUGUUGGGAAGAUUGGAUUUUUUUUUUAAGGAAAGUUUGAGGUGGGGAAAAAGUUGAUAUUCUAAUCCCAUUGCAAAAAUCAUAAUUUGUUCUGACUCUUGGCCUCUUGGGUGUUGAAAAUGAGGGGUAACUUUUAUAAGGUAAAACACAUAUAUUAAUGAGAUGGAACUUUUGCAAGGUUUAGUUCAUAAUUUUCUGCUUCUGUUAUUACUUACUGAUCAAGUUUCUUCACCUGGGGAUAAAUGCCUUCAUGCAAUCAAAAGUGUAUUAUAUCUCUGCUAUUCACAAUGAGUGGUUCUUAUCUGCUACCUAUCGAGUUAUUAGAUUUGAGAAAAUGUUAAACAAAAAUAAUAUGGUAUAUUACAGGCUGGAAGGUACCAAAACCCUGAAGAAAAUGCCUUCUUCCCAGAACAUUUACCAUCACCAAUUGUGCCAUCUUACCCCUUCACACAGGUAACUGACCGAAACUCAAUUACGGUUUUCCAAUUUCCAUAGUUCAAAUGAACUUAGAACAAAGAGUGAUUAGUUCUGAAGUUGAUUCUUCUUUAGAUUUUGCAUCCUGGAGCUGCUUCCAUUAACAUAAACAAGUCGAUUUGGAAAAAUUACUUUGAUGAGUUGCUUCCAAUAUUGGUUGCGUCCGGUGAUGAUGGCAACUAUGCACAAACUGCAGCUAGCGAUCUUUCAUUAUUGCAGGUAAUGUUGUCUCUGAUGAUGACUUUAGGUAGACAAAUGUUUAAAACCAACAACCAGUUUAAUUUUUGUCAAUAUAUUUUGGUGCAACUCAUGGGAUAAUUUUCAAGAGUGGCCUAGAUGCUCUACACUAGUUUUGAUUCUGAUUUCUGACAGUUCAUUCUGUAAAAUAUCUGCAGGCAAUCUCUAGAAGGAUUCAUUAUGGAAAGUUUGUAGCUGAGGCGAAAUUCAGGGAAUCUCCUCAAGACUAUGAGCCUUUAAUUCGUGCUAAGGUAAAUAUUUGUGCAGAUUGCUGAGUGUUAGCAAAUUUAGCUCCAUAGUAAACAUAUAUAUUUUUAAUAUGACACAAUUCAUUUGGGAUACAUUAUCAUCAAGAUGAUAUAACAUAAUUUAAUGGUUAGGUUACUGCUUCUCGCCUUCUAAAAAAAGUUGUUAAGCGGUGUAUGUUUUUAUUGAGAAGUUUCGCAUUGACUAGAGAUAGAGAUAUGGUCAAAUAAGACUUUAUAAAGGAUAGAUAAAUCCUCACCUUUGAGCUAGCUUUUGGGGUAAAUUAAGGCAUAGUCCGAAGUCUAAGAUGGUAUAAAAGUCUUUCAUAGAUCCAUUUACUUGGACGAAUCAUAAAUGGGUCACUUGCAGAUGUCCAAUCCUGUAAACUUAACUCCAGAUGUCUAGCACCACAUUGACUAUAAAGGUUAGAGAAAUCCUCACAUUUGGUCUAGCUUUUCGGGUAGAGUUAGACUGGAUCUAAGUUAUUUUCCAAACUUAUACCUGAUGUCCAAUCUUAAACGUUUUUAGUCAAGUGGGGUUCACAGUUAUAAUGGUACCCUAUUGGUUUUUGCAGGACACAGAAGGGUUGAUGAAAUUAUUGACAUUUGAGAGUGUUCAAGAGAUGGUGAUAAAGAGAGUUGAAAAGAAGGCCAUGGUGUUUGGGCAGGAGGUAGGCCUAAACAGUGAUGAUGAAAAGGAAGUAAAACGCAAGUUUGAUCCAUCAGUGGCUUCUAGCUUGUAUCAGAAAUGGAUUAUACCUCUCACCAAGGAGGUUGAGGUUGAGUACCUCUUGCGCCGUCUAGAUUGAGACUGUCUCAAUGCAAUU